rnacentral:tRNA from 1 species
GCGCCCAUAGUUCAAUGGAUAGAAUGAAAGCUUGCGGAGCUUUUGAUAGAGGUUCGAAUCCUCUUGGGCGCA